rnacentral:lncRNA from 1 species
CCAAAACCCUAAACCCUAAACCCUAAAACCCUAAAACCCUAAAACCCUAAAACCCUAAAACCCAAAAACCCUAAAACCCCUAAAACCCUAAAACCCUAAAACCCCUAAAACCCCUAAACCCUAAAACCCUAAAACCCCUAAAAACUAAAACCCUAAACCCUAAAACCCUAAAACCCUACUACCCUAAAACCCUAAAACCCUAAAACCCUAAAACCCUAAAACCCUAAAACCCUAAAACCCUAAAACCUAAACCCUAAACCCUAAAACCCUAAAACCUAAACCCUAAAACCUAAACCCUAAACCCUAAACCCUAAACCCUAAACCCUAAACCCUAAACCCUAAACCCUAAACCCUAAACCCUAAACCCUAAACCCUAAACCCUAAACCCUAAACCCUAAACCCUAAACCCUAAACCCUAAACCCUAAACCCCUACCCCUAAACCCUAAACCCCUACCCCUAAACCCUAAACCCUAAACCCUAAACCCUAAACCCUAAACCCUAAACCCUAAACCCUAAACCCUAAACCCUAAACCCUAAACCCUAAACCCCUAAACCCUAAACCCUAAACCCUAAACCCUAAACCCUAAACCCUAAACCCUAUUUCUAUUU